CGGUCGGCAGUUCACCCAGGCGUCGCCGCCCCGAAAGGGGUGCUAAACCUGCCG
rfam:Desulfovibrio sp. TomC contig00002, whole genome shotgun sequence.